GAGGAAUAUUGGUCAAUGGGUGCAAGCCUGAACCAGCCAUCCCGCGUGAAGGACGACUGCCCUAUGGGUUGUAAACUUCUUUUGUAUAGGGAUAAACCUACCCUCGUGAGGGUAGCUGAAGGUACUAUACGAAUAAGCACCGGCUAACUCCGUGCCAGCAGCCGCGGUAAUACGGAGGGUGCAAGCGUUAUCCGGAUUUAUUGGGUUUAAAGGGUCCGUAGGCGGACUUAUAAGUCAGUGGUGAAAGCCUGUCGCUUAACGAUAGAACUGCCAUUGAUACUGUAAGUCUUGAGUAUAUUUGAGGUAGCUGGAAUAAGCAGUGUAGCGGUGAAAUGCAUAGAUAUUACUUAGAACACCAAUUGCGAAGGCAGGUUACCAAGAUAUAACUGACGCUGAGGGACGAAAGCGUGGGGAGCGAACA
rnacentral:rRNA from 1 species